UAGUAAUACGAAUAGUGCGCCGGGUAGUCAUUUUAUUUCAAUUAAUAUGAAUAAACGUAUCAGAGGCUGUGUGUUAUCGCACGUUGUAAACCAAUAAUCGAACUUUAAUAAUCGAAAUAGAACAAGUCCGUAACAAGUGUUGUGCAUGCGAAUAAUGGAUUGUGAAGAAACGACAGUGACGUCUAGCUACUCAGCCUUGGACGUUAUGAUUACGAGAAAAAGUGUAUUUUGAAAAUAUAUCAAGUGUUUUCGUGUUGAAAACGUCUGUGAGAUAUUAAUUGACGGUGUAGUGGUAUUGUUCACGGCUGUUUCGACACUAGGCAGGUGUUAUGUCGGGCGGUAGGAGCAUCGAGAAGGAGCGCAAGUCUCCACGCGAGAGUGGUGAAGACUCCGAGGAUGAGAGUGAAAUUUUAGAAGAGAGUCCCUGCGGUCGGUGGCUAAAACGCCGGGAAGAGGUUGAACAACGCGAUGUGCCCGGUAUUGACUGCGCCAACCUUGCGAUGGACACCGAAGAGGGCGUGGAAGUCGUGUGGAAUGAAGUCCAGUUCUCCGAGCGGAAGAACUUCAAAGCUCAGGAAGAUAAGAUACAGACGGUGUUCGACAACCUGACCAGGCUUGAACACCCUAACAUCGUCAAGUUCCAUCGAUACUGGACUGACACGCAUAACGACAAACCCAGGGUAAUUUUCAUUACUGAGUACAUGUCGUGCGGCUCAUUGAAGCAGUUUCUGAAGAGAACGAAGCGCAACGUGAAGAGGCUGCCCCUCCAGGCGUGGAAGCGAUGGUGCACACAGAUACUAUCUGCAUUAAGUUAUCUCCACGGCUGUGUUCCGCCGAUCGUCCACGGAAACCUGACCUGCGACACCAUUUUCAUCCAGCAUAACGGCCUGGUGAAGAUCGGCUCUGUAGCGCCCGACGCAAUUCACCACCACGUCAAGACCUGCCGCGAAAAUAUGAAGAACAUGCACUUUAUCGCCCCAGAAUAUGGAUCAUCUCAAAUGGUGACGCCAGCAAUGGAUAUCUACUCGUUCGGAAUGUGCGCUCUGGAAACCGCAGCCCUCGAAAUCCAAGGAAAUGGAGACUCUGGCAGCCACGUCACGGAGGAACACAUCAUACGGACGGUCGAAUCGUUGGAGGAUCCCAGACAGAAGGACUUUAUAUACAGGUGUAUAAACCAGCAUCCCGAGAAGAGGCCGACGGCGAGAGAGCUGCUCUUCCAUCCACUGCUGUUUGAAGUCCAUUCCUUAAAACUGCUGGCGGCCCACACGCUGGUUAAUACAACCGCUAAUAUCUCCGAAACUAUAACUGACGAAGUGACCGGCGGCAGCAGCGGCGAGGCGCUGGCGUGGUGCGUGCGCGGCGGGGAGCGCGUCGAGAUCGCGGCCAAGGACCUCCAGCCGCACGCUGAAAAACUAGAGAAAUUUGUCGAAGACGUCAAGUACGGCAUCUACCCGCUGACGGCGUACGGGUCGGGGGCGGGGGGCCGCGCCUCGUCCCCCGAGCGCGCCCCCGCCCCCGCCGCCUCGCCCCCCCCGCGCGACACCGAGUCCCGCCGCGUCGUGCACAUGAUGUGCAACGUGGCGCCGCCGCCGCGACACAGCGACGCGCCCGACCACGACCUGCUGAUGACCAUCAUCCUGCGCAUGGACGACAAGAUGAACCGGCAGCUGACGUGCGCCGUGUCGCGCCGGGACUCCGCGUCGCACCUCGCGCGCGAGCUGGUGCAGCUCGGCUUCAUCCACGAGGCGGACCGCGACAAGAUCUGCCGGAUCAUGGAGGAGUCCCUCCGCGCCAGUUUCCCCCCGGCGGCGGAGCCCCCCGUGGCGGCCCCCCCGGCGGCGGCGGCCCGCGCGCCUCAGCACGUGGCCAGCUAGUGCGGCGCCCCCCCGCCCGCGCGUCCCCCCCUCGCCUCGCGCGCAGCUCCGCGCGGCGGUCGGUCGUCGGAGACGGCUACGGCUGCGGUGAGCCGGCGCGGUCCUGCGCGCACUGCGGACUGCGCGAGGCACAGCUCGGCCUCGCGAUCGAACCAGCGGGUCUAGCAGCCGGAUUAGAAACAAAUCAAUUAAAUAAAUUGAGUGCUAUUAUCAAAAAUGUAUUUUAAAAUGUUAGCAAAGUAAUCAAGUCAGCCUCGGGUCGGGGACUCGACCGGCGGAGGUUCGGUAUUAGACGAGUAUUUGUCCGAUUUUUGUUUAGAUUCAUGUGAAUACCGAUGUACAUGAAAAUAAGCCUGCACUGAUUAAUAAAUUUUAUGAAAUGAAAACUAAAACGUUAUGUGUUGUAAAGAACCUUUCCUUAUUUCAAAUUGAUGGACCUCUCGUGGUUUGCUCAGGCCCCCGCGCCGGUCCCCUCGUCGGCCCCCUCCGCCGGAAUAAUCAAAUUGCUAGUCGAGUGUGAAUCUAAAAACCGGACUGACCGAAUCGUUAAGGAAAAAAAUAGUUGAAUAUUGAAAAUUAUUUAAUCGACAAUGAUUCGGCGAAGGUUUAUAGUUGUUAGUGUGUACAUCGAGAAUGCUUUAGUAUAGAAACUUUUGUAUGAAUGUGUAAAUGUUACAAAAAUGAUAUUUAAUUAAUAUAAUAAUAUAUAAAUAAAUGUGAAACUUUAAAAAAAAACAUUAAUCGUAAUCUGUAUAGUGAGGCUUCCUUUUAGAGCUUUAUGGACGUGGUAUACGGGAAAAUGAACAUACUCACUAAGUGUUUAAGGUCGAAAUUUAUUUGUUUAGCGUUGGUUUUUUAAAUGUGCAAUAGUUCUCAAACUUCCUCUUUAAAUCGGCGCUCACGCACUUGUUGGAUACGCCUAGAGUCGUGGUCAAUUCUGUGAUCGCGAAAACUACUUGAAUACGUAUUCUCUUGAAGGAAGCAUUAGAGUGUGUGUGGAACGAUCGUCUCGAGUUUGAAAUCUAUUGUACUUUUAAGAUUCAAAAUUAUUUUUUUGUAAAUUUUUGUACAUUUUACAAGUCGGUCAAUGUGAGUGCAGUAGGGCACGUAGGCUGCGCCGACGCAGAAUUAGUUUAUGAACAAGUCAAUUUCAAUAGAAUAAUGCCUUUUUUAAAUAAAAUACUUAUUUACAACUGCAUUUAAACGAUUUAAUUGUCGCGAUUCCGAUCGUCGUGCGUUGCUCGCACGCGGACACGUUUAAUGACAGUUAUCAAACUUGAGGUUUAAUGACAGCUGUCAAACUUGACGUCACUGCGAAGUGUAGCCCGACCGGACCUCGUUGGUGAGUGGCUUCUGCGACCCUCGCAGCAGAGGGUGGACCCCAUCACCCUGUUUAUUUUCAACAAAAACAGGUUAUGGUGUGGUUCUGUGGUAAAGUGCAAGAAGUGGAUCGGGCAGCGCCCCCAGUGGCCCACGGACAGCGGUCAGGCGGACACCACUCGCGACGACAUUUUGUGCUUUUGUUUUCUUAAGGAAGGCACCUUGUUCCUAUUUUUUAUUUCGGUGCUGAUUGUGAAAUAUCUUUUUUUUGUUUUUUCUUUGAUAGUUGCAAUUACACGUUUUAAAAUAAAUCUCUUGCAAAAAACAGUAACAAAAAAUAACGCAGAUCUUUAUCCAAUGUUCGUGUGUUUCGUUGAAUGCUAGUGGUGCCAAACUUACAAGGUGCCAAUAAAAUGUUACGGAAUUCUAUCACAUAACACGCUUCACGAUAUCAACUGUACACUGUAUUUUAGUACCAAAAAUAAUAAAUUGUUUCUUGUCCCUUCCAUCUCUACACCGCAGCAACAAUAAAGCUGAAUAUUAUCCGAAAAAACAGAAUUGUUGGCAAACAUUUUGUUAUUUGUUCUUAUUCGUUGCGUAUAGACUCGAACUGCAUCUAAAAAUAUGUACAAUUACUUUUCCUCAUUUUCUGCUCAUUUAUUUUUGGUACCUACUUAAAACGAGCGAUGUAUAGUUAGGGAAGUAACAAAACGUUCGCGUUCUCUUCAUAAUUUCAAAUUGUAAGCUUUUCACGUUUGAAGUCGUGGACACAAAUACGUACGUCGUCCGGCGACCUGCGAACUGAUCCUUAUACUUCAUUUACUAGUUUCUAAACCUGCCAACUUCCAGCACUUCCUGCCCGUCGCGUAGAUCAGGAGUCGUUACUGAAAUUUAUGAAAAUUGCAUUGAAUAUAUAUUUUUAAGUACGUUGCUGACCGGCCGACGCACGGCCCUCACACAGACAGCUCGCGUCACGCCGUCGGCCGCUAGUGACGGGCCGCGUCACGCCGUCGGCCGGUAGUGACGGGCCGCGUCAUGCUGUCGGCCGGUAGUGACGGGCCGCGUCAUGCCGUCGGCCGGUGUAGCGGCACGGCGGUGACUCCGCAGGAGCACGGAGAGCGCGUUUAUAUGAACUAGAAGCGGUCUUCCAUUUCAUAUAAAACAAGAUCUCCCGCGCGGCCGCCGCUGUGUCUGUGCCUGUGUACCGACUUGCUUUUUUUAUUUUAUUAUGAAAUUAUCUUGAAUCUUGCUUAUGAUUUUAAACUAUAUAUAUUUUGCACAAACCUGAAGUUUUGAGAUUUUGAUUCAAUAUAUUAUAAUGUUUUUAUUAUUAUUUUUGUUGUUAUUCAAUCUGCUUUAUUAUUAAUAACCCCACAAUAUCGUUCUGUUAUUAAAAUAUAUCUUUAUGUACUGCGUAUUACUUUUUUAUUUAUAUUAUUUAAUUUUAAAAUGAACACAUUAAUGAUGAAAUUUAGUGAAUCUUGUUUUUAAAGUGAAAUUGUACCCAGGGUGUUCCCGCGUCGUGUGUCCAAAGAGUGAUGUGUUCAUGAGUUG
rnacentral:misc_RNA from 1 species